GACGAACGCUGGCGGCGUGCUUAACACAUGCAAGUCGAACGGAAAGGCCCUGCUUUUGUGGGGUGCUCGAGUGGCGAACGGGUGAGUAACACGUGAGUAACCUGCCCUUGACUUUGGGAUAACUUCAGGAAACUGGGGCUAAUACCGGAUAGGAGCUCCUGCUGCAUGGUGGGGGUUGGAAAGUUUCGGCGGUUGGGGAUGGACUCGCGGCUUAUCAGCUUGUUGGUGGGGUAGUGGCUUACCCAGGCUUUGACGGGUAGCCGGCCUGAGAGGGUGACCGGCCACAUUGGGACUGGGAUACGGCCCAGACUCCUACGGGAGGCAGCAGUGGGGAAUAUUGCACAAUGGGCGGAAGCCGGAUGCAGCAACGCCGCGUGCGGGAUGACGGCCUUCGGGUUGUAAACCGCUUUCGCCUGUGACGAAGCGUGAGUGACGGUAAUGGGUAAAGAAGCACCGGCUAACUACGUG
rnacentral:rRNA from 1 species